CCCAAGUAAUCUUUGGAAAAAUCCAGAUCCCACUUGGCUGUGGCUCUUUUUGAGACCUGAAUUGGAAUCCGAAUCCUUUGGCGUCUCCACUUGAAUUCCACCUUCUGAGAAAAAUGUAAAUAACAACAACAUAAACCCUUACAUAAGAUUUAGCGUAAGGGGGGAGCUUCCAGGAAUGGUGAGACGGUGCCCUUCCCCCUGUUCACUCUGUCCUGCGUAAUGGAGCUGAUGGUCUGGUGGUGGGAUUCUGGCACUUACGCUGAGCAGGACCCAGGACACAGAUACAGUCUCUGCUGGGUGGGGUGUGAAGGAUGUGUAGUUAGGAACGACUAGAAGGAAAGUUUCUAGGAGGAGGGGCCAGAGACAGGCAGAGCCAGCCUGAGAAGAGCCUUGAGCCUUGAGAAGCCCAAAAGGUUGGGCCUAUGCCCGUGAGCUGGGGAAGCUGGCAGAGAGCAUCAGCAAGACAGUGGAUGGGCAGAGCUGGGCGGUAGACGGAUAAGGCACACCGCAAGCUCCCCCUCGCCCCCUCUGCAAACAUUAGUGGCCUCUCCCUUGGGCUUUGCACUUGCGAAUCAAGAGGGGGGACAGAGACCACCCUGGGCCCCAUCACCCCUCACCAGGAUCGGCUGCUUGGCAGUGGGCCGACAUGUCCACGGGGCCGCGAGGCCUGCUCGUUGCACCCUCAAGGAGCUCUGAUGAAUAACAGAUUUGUAUCAUUUGCUUUGUUUUGCUUCAUUCCUAGAAGGCAGCCAGGGAAUAAAUAUUUGCUGGGUGAAUGCAUGGACCCUAUUUCCCUAAAAAAACUCCCCUACCAGUGCGCCCCGAGAUACCCAAAAGGCAAAACCAGAAGGAGUUCAGUGCGGGUUUUGUCAAGUUGGUGGGGUCUCUGGCAGGGUCGUAAUGAUAGUUAAUACUUGCGGAGUCCCUACUUCGUCCUAGGCCUGGAUUGUUCCAUGGGAUCCUGACGGCAACCGGUGUGCUAUACACUCUGACCAAGCCCGUUUGCCGAGGAGACACGGAGGCCCCGGUGGGUGAAGUCACUGGCCCAAGGUUGCACACUCAGCGGUGGGGUCAGGACCUGCAGCCAGGUGGGGUCACCCCGCAGAGCGCCACGAAGAACGUGAGGACCGUGCUGCCUUUGCGCCCGCUCUACCAUAGCACGACGGAGGAAAGCCCCGUGGAGAUGAGAAAGAUCUUGCCGUCGGCCCGCUCUGCUGGAUUUUACGAGAAGGUGCGGCAACUUGCCGAGUCCUGUCCCUCUGCCGGCCGGCGCCGAGCACCCAGGCUCGUGGGGCUGACACUGCUCAGCUGGAUGGUUCCAGAAGUGGCCGCCACCUCGAUUUGAGGAAGAGCUGGACGGAAAAUUUGGGAAGGAGCAGUAUUUUCUUCCACGGCUUGGGCACCAUUUUUGCUUUCUACAAAAAUACACUUUGCUAUAUUUAGGCAGUGCCAUUAACAGGACUCUCUCUCUCUUUUCCCUCAAGAAUGUUUGUCAGUUUGUUUUUGUCAUUUGAUAUUUUUCGGCUACCACCUGGGGAAAUCAUCAAGCACUCACAUUCCUGAAUCAACUUUUCCUGCUGUUCGCUAAUUAAAAUAAACCUCUGGCCAAAUCACCA
ensembl:lncRNA